GUGCUGUGGUAUGGCGUCCAGAUCUGUUCCAGCCAGGUCGCGCGUUCUUCCUUCGAAGGUUCCAUUCCCUCACGGAACA
rnacentral:tRNA from 1 species